rnacentral:rRNA from 1 species
AGUGGGGAAUUUUGCGCAAUGGGGGAAACCCUGACGCAGCAACGCCGCGUGAGUGAUGAAGGCUUUCGGGUCGUAAAGCUCUGUCAGAGGGGAAGAAACUCUUGUGGUCGAACAGGCCGCAGGAUUGACGGUACCCUCAGAGGAAGCACCGGCUAACUCCGUGCCAGCAGCCGCGGUAAUACGGAGGGUGCGAGCGUUGUUCGGAAUUAUUGGGCGUAAAGCGCGUGCAGGCGGCCUGUUGAGUCUGAUGUGAAAGCCCGAGGCUCAACCCCGGAAGUGCAUUGGAUACUGGCAGGCUUGAGUACGGGAGAGGGAAGUGGAAUUCCGAGUGUAGGGGUGAAAUCCGUAGAUAUUCGGAGGAACACCGGUGGCGAAGGCGGCUUCCUGGACCGAUACUGACGCUGAGACGCGAAAGCGUGGGGAGCAAACAGGAUUAGAUACCCUGGUAGUCCACGCCGUAAACGAUGUUCACUCGCUGUUUGCGAUACACAGUAAGCGGCUGAGCGAAAGCAUUAAGUGAACCACCUGGGGAGUACGAUCGCAAGGUUG